UUUUAGGUCAAAACCUCCUUGCCAAAGUUGGAUAAGCUAAGCAGGGCCGGGCUUGGUUAGCACUUGGAUGGGAGACCGCUGGGAAUUAUGGAUACAACAA
rnacentral:rRNA from 1 species